rnacentral:rRNA from 1 species
UACGAAGGUGGCAAGCGUUGUUCGGAUUUACUGGGCGUACAGGGAGCGUAGGCGGUUGGAUAAGCCCCUCCGUGAAAUCUCCAGGCUUAACCCUGGAAAGUGCAGAGGGGACUGUUCAGCUAGAGGAUGGGAGAGGAGCGCGGAAUUCCCGGUGUAGCGGUGAAAUGCGUAGAGAUCGGGAGGAAGGCCGGUGGCGAAGGCGGCGCUCUGGAACAUUUCUGACGCUGAGGCUCGAAAGCGUGGGGAGCAAACAGG